UACGGGGGGGGCAAGCGUUGUUCGGAAUUACUGGGCGUAAAGGGCUCGUAGGCGGCCAACUAAGUCAGACGUGAAAUCCCUCGGCUUAACCGGGGAACUGCAUCUGACACUGGAUGGCUCGAGUUUGGGAGAGGGAUGCGGAAUUCCAGGUGUAGCGGUGAAAUGCGUAGAUAUCUGGAGGAACACCGGUGGCGAAGGCGGCAUCCUGGACCAACACUGACGCUGAUGAGCGAAAGCCAGGGGAGCAAACGGG
rnacentral:rRNA from 1 species